rnacentral:misc_RNA from 1 species
CACAAACCAAGAACAAGUGAAAUUGAAAAAUGCCUACCUUGAAUCUUUUCACUAACCUACCUGUGGAUGCAGUUACCACCUCUGAUAUUCUCAAGGAUGCCACCAAAGCUGUUUCUAGAAUUAUUGGCAAGCCUGAAUCCUAUGUGAUGAUUGUGCUGAAUGGAGGAGUGCCUAUUGCAUUUGCCGGCACUGAAGAACCAGCUGCAUACGGAGAGUUGAUCUCAAUUGGAGGCCUUGGGCCAAGUGUUAAUGGAAAAUUGAGUUCAACUAUUGCAGAAAUCCUUCAAACAAAGCUCUU